rnacentral:rRNA from 1 species
UACGGGAGGCAGCAGUGGGGGAAUAUUCCACAAUGGGGGGAAAACCCUGAUGGAGCGACGCCCGCGUGAGUGAAGAAAGGGCUUCGGGCUCGUAAAGCUCUUUUUCUCGUUUGACGAAAUUAGCUCUUGGGAGCAGUUGACGGUAGACGGGGGAAUAAAGCCACGGCUAACUACGUGCCAGCAGCCGCGGUAAU